GACGAACGCUGGCGGCAUGCUUAACACAUGCAAGUCGAACGGAAAGGCCCUGCUUUUGUGGGGUGCUCGAGUGGCGAACGGGUGAGUAACACGUGAGUAACCUGCCCUUGACUUUGGGAUAACUUCAGGAAACUGGGGCUAAUACCGGAUAGGAGCUCCUGCUGCAUGGUGGGGGUUGGAAAGUUUCGGCGGUUGGGGAUGGACUCGCGGCUUAUCAGCUUGUUGGUGGGGUAGUGGCUUACCAAGGCUUUGACGGGUAGCCGGCCUGAGAGGGUGACCGGCCACAUUGGGACUGAGAUACGGCCCAGACUCCUACGGGAGGCAGCAGUGGGGAAUAUUGCACAAUGGGCGGAAGCCUGAUGCAGCAACGCCGCGUGCGGGAUGACGGCCUUCGGGUUGUAAACCGCUUUCGCCUGUGGCGAAGCGUGAGUGACGGUAAUGGGUAAAGAAGCACCGGCUAACUACGUG
rnacentral:rRNA from 1 species